rnacentral:tRNA from 2 species
GGCGUAUUCGACAAGCGGUCUAAGUCACCAGUCUUUCUAACUGGUAUUCAGGGGUUCGAAUCCCCUAUACGUCA